AUGCCCGAUUGCAUCCUUCCCCAAUCUUACUUGGGGCUUCCUCUUUCCACCCACAAACUUAAUCUCAAAGAUUUCUUCUUCAUCAUUGAAAAAGUUCAUCGUUGCUUAGCUGGUUGGAGGGGCCUUCUUCUAUCUCUAGCUGGAAGAGUUGUUCUGGUUCGAUCUAUUCUGCGUGCCCUGCCAAUCUAUGCCAUGAGUGUCCUUCUCCUCCCUGCUGGAACCAUCCAGGAAAUCGAGAAACGUUGCAGGGCCUUCUUUUGGUUCGGCCAGGAAACGACAUCUGGUGCCAAUUGUAAGGUCGCUUGGGACAUUGUUUGU
rnacentral:rRNA from 1 species